AGCGAACGCUGGCGGCAGGCCUAACACAUGCAAGUCGAACGAAGCCUUCGGGCUUAGUGGCGGACGGGUGAGUAACACGUGGGAACGUACCUUUUGGUUCGGAACAACUCGGGGAAACUUGAGCUAAUACCGGAUGAGCCCUUAGGGGGAAAGAUUUAUCGCCGAAAGAGCGGGCCGCGUUAGAUUAGCUAGUUGGUGAGGUAAAGGCUCACCAAGGCAACGAUCUAUAGCUGGUCUGAGAGGAUGAUCAGCCACACUGGGACUGAGACACGGCCCAGACUCCUACGGGAGGCAGCAGUGGGGAAUCUUGCGCAAUGGGCGAAAGCCUGACGCAGCCAUGCCGCGUGAAUGAUGAAGGUCUUAGGAUUGUAAAAUUCUUUUACCAGGGACGAUAAUGACGGUACCUGGAGAAAAAGCCCCGGCUAACUUCGUGCCAGCAGCAGCCGCGGUAA
rnacentral:rRNA from 1 species